CUGGCUGCUGCAGUGAGCGUAGCGAAGGUGAUGACGUCACUCCGUCUCCAGCGUGCUGACAACCAGGCAGCAACAGCAACCGUUGUUGCUCCUAAAUGGACAAGAAAUGACAGCCAGAGCUCCAGCAGCCAUUAAGCUAAACAGCACCGCAGUUACAGGACAAGACUACACACAGAUGCUGCUGCUGCUGCUGUUGUAAUUACCGCUAAUCCUUGCUGUGGCUUACAGCUGUGUGCUGGGCAACUCUCCUCUACCUCUCCACCUCUCCAACGCUGAUCCGAUCCGAUAUAAACAACAGGCAACCUGGUCAUUUUAUUCUGCACAUUCAUGAUGGUGUCGCUGCUGGACUACAAUGAAAAAUGGCCCUUAACAUCCACCGUACACUUACAUAAUAUGCAAUAGGUGAACAGACUCCAAAGCGACCAACAUGGGAUGCAUCAGGGCUUGUCUGCAGAGGAUGAGACGCAGGGUGAAGCUGGAGCGGUUCAGAGAGCUGGGACGACAGUAUCCAGUCUUCUGCUUUCUGCUGCUGCUCCUGCUGCUGUCCACUGUGCUUUUAAACAGAUAUAUUCACAUUAUGAUGGUGUUUUGGUCCUUCCUGGCCGGAGUCGUCACUUUCUACUGCUCUUUGGGGCCUGAGUCUCUGCUGCCCAACGUCUUGGCCUCCAUCAAACCAAAAAUCAAGUCAUACCAACAGGAGCUGUUUCCCCUGGGCCACAGCUGUGCCGUGUGUGGAAAAAUCAAAUGCAAAAGGCACAGACCGACUUUAUUACUGGAAAACUAUCAACCAUGGCUUGACCUGAAAGUUCCCUCUAAGGUGGAUGCUUCUCUUUCAGAGAUUCUGGAGCUGGUCCUGGAAAAUUUUGUGUAUCCUUGGUAUAGAGACAUCACAGAUGAUGAGGCGUUUGUCGACGAGCUCAGAGUGACUUUGCGCUUCUUUGCAGCUGUGUUGGUCCGCCGAACCCAGAAGGUGGAUGUGGCAUCCCUCAUCACACAAAAGCUUCUUAAAGUCUCCAUGAAGCACAUUGAAAUAAUAAGCAAAGCAAGACAGAAAGUAAAGAACGCAGAGUAUCUUCAACAAGCUGCCCUGGAGGAAUACGGUCCUGACCUCCAUGUGGCCCUUCGCAGUCGCAGAGAUGAGCUCCUCUACCUCAGGAAGCUCACUGAGAUGCUCUUCCCCUACAUUCUGCCGCCCAAGGCUACAGACUGCAGAUCUCUUACUCUCCUGAUAAGAGAAGUCUUGGCUGGUUCUGUCUUCCUUCCUUCAAUGGACUACUUGGCUGAUCCUGACACAGUGAAUCAUUUACUUUUGAUAUUCAUCGACAACUCCCCCCCUGAAGAAGCCACAGAGCCCGCUUCACCGUUGGUUCCUUUCCUGCAAAAGUACUCUGAUAUUCGCAGCAAAAAGACUUCUGUGCUGAAGCUAGAGUUGAAGGAAAUCCGAGAACAGCAGGACCUUCUCUUCCGUUUUAUGAACUUCCUGAAGCAAGAGGGGGCUGUUCAUGUGCUCCAGUUCUGCCUUGCAGUCGAGGAAUUCAACGACAGGAUACUUUGCCCGGAGCUGUCUGACACGGAGAAGAUGAUGCUUCACGAGGAGGUGAAGAAGAUCUAUGAGACAUACUGUUUGGACGAGAGCGUCGACAAGAUCCGCUUCGACCCCUUCAUAGUGGAAGAAAUACGCAACAUUGCAGAGGGCCCGUAUGCAGAGGUGGUGAAGCUGCAGACCAUGAGGUGCUUGUUUGAAGCCUACGAGCACGUCCUGUCCCUCCUGGAGAACGUUUUCACCCCCAUGUUCUGUCACAGUGAUGAGUACUUCCGCCAGCUUCUGAGAGGGGCAGAGUCCCCUGCCAGGAAUUCCAGGAUGAGCAGAAAUAGCCUCAGUUUGGAUGACAUUCGUUCCUGGGACUGGAGCCCCGAGUCCCCGUCCUCACUGUUCACCGCCUCUGGCAGCUCUUCACCUGCAUCUUUUAACUCCCUCCAUGCCCAGUCCACGUUCACAACUUUCCCAUACGGCUCGCUAUCCCACCGCCACUCAUCACCCAAGAACACGUCAAAGAGGGGCGAGUCCUUUGGGAUCAGCCGCAUUGGCAGUAAGAUCAAAGGAGUGUUCAAGAGCACAACCAUGGAGGGAGCCAUGCUGCCAUCCUAUGGGCUGGUGGAGGGGGAGGACGAUAUGGUGGAGGAAGCCAUGAUGGUGCUGGAGGAUGACUCCCCCAUGGAGGCCGCCUCCACCCCCAGCACCCCCCGAAACCUCUCAGCCUGGAACAUCACCAUCCCGUACAUUGAUUUCUAUGACGACGAUGUGAAGAGGGAGAGGAUUCCCGUGUUCUGUAUCGAUGUAGAGCGCAAUGACCGGAAGGCAGUGGGACAUGAGACUGAGCACUGGUCCGUGUACAGAAGAUAUCUGGAGUUCUAUGUCCUUGAAUCAAAGCUCACUGAGUUUCAUGGCUCAUUUCCAGAUGCGCAGUUGCCUUCGAAGAGAAUCCUCGGUCCCAAGAAUUACGAGUUCCUCACAUCGAAACGGGAGGAGUUCCAGGAGUACCUUCAGAAACUUCUGCAGCACCCAGAGCUGAGUAACAGUCAACUCCUCGCCGACUUCCUGUCCCCUCAUAGCAUGGAGUCUCAGUUCCUGGACAAGAUGUUACCUGACGUGAACCUGGGGAAAAUCAUUAAGUCAGUUCCCAGCAAACUGAUAAAAGAGAAAGGGCAGCAUCUGGAGCCUUUCAUCCAGUCCUUCUUCAACUCCUGUGAAUCUCCCAAACCCAAACCCAGCCGCCCUGAGCUCACUAUCCUGAGCCCCACCUCGGAAAAUGAUAAAAAGCUCUUCAACGACCUCUUCAAAAACAACGCCAACCGAUCAGAGAUGAGUGAGAAGAGACACAAUCAGAAUUACUUCCUGGAAAUGAUCACUGUUGAAGGGCUGUAUGACUACUUGAUGUAUUUGGGCCGAGUCGUCUUCCACAUCCCCGACUGGCUGCACCAUCUGCUAAUGACUGGCAGGAUCCUGUUCAAGAACACACUGGAAGCCUACACAGAUUACUACCUUCACUGCAAACUGAACCAGGUGGUCCAGGAACACCGGCUAGUCUCGCUCAUCACCCUGCUUAGAGACACCGUUUUCUGUGAGAGCAGUCUGCCCCGCUCAGCUCAAGACAAGCAGUGGAGGGCCAAGAAGACAUUUGAGCAGAUGAUGAAAUACAUUCCAGAGUUUCUGGGAAAAUGCAUCGGAGAAGAGGCCAGGUAUGAGGGAGUACGUCUCCUCUUCGAUGGACUGCAACAGCCUGUUCUCAACAAACAGCUGACAUAUGUGCUGUUGGACAUCGCCAUUCAAGAACUUUUCCCUGAGUUGAACAAGCAGGUACAGAAGGAGACCUCUAUGAUGGCUCCGUGGAUGUAAACUGAACAUUUCAAUGGACAUGAGCUGACAUGCUUUCUAGGCAUUAAACUAAGCCGAAACACCUGCAGAGACUCAUGUUGGUUCAGUUACCUGAAACAUGUUGAUCACAUGUACAGUAUCUGACCUGGAUACAUGCCCCAACAAGAAGAGGAAACACGUGGCCCCUCCUGCUUUAUCCUUGAAGGCAGCGAGAUGGAAAGGCAGUCAACCAAGUGUCCCAGAGGAGUUUACAAGCUGCCCUUCAGUUUAUCACAGUUUACAGAAAGCCCAUCAGAGUGUCAGGGACAGACAUAAACCCAACAGCAACAAACCAACGCUGUGGGCUGUAAAGACAGCCGAGUUCCUGAACGUGAUCCGGCCCUCCACUGCAGGGUACACGCGCUUCAUGUCCGAGA